GUUUGAUCCUGGCUCAGGACGAACGCUGGCGGCGUGCCUAAUACAUGCAAGUAGAACGCUGAAGUCUGGUGCUUGCACUAGACGGAUGAGUUGCGAACGGGUGAGUAACGCGUAGGUAACCUGCCUCAUAGCGGGGGAUAAYUAUUGGAAACGAUAGCUAAUACCGCAUAACAGUAUUUACUGCAUGGUAGAUACUUGAAAGGAGCAAUUGCUUCACUAUGAGAUGGACCUGCGUUGUAUUAGCUAGUUGGUGAGGUAACGGCUCACCAAGGCAUCGAUACAUAGCCGACCUGAGAGGGUGAUCGGCCACACUGGGACUGAGACACGGCCCAGACUCCUACGGGAGGCAGCAGUAGGGAAUCUUCGGCAAUGGGGGCAACCCUGACCGAGCAACGCCGCGUGAGUGAAGAAGGUUUUCGGAUCGUAAAGCUCUGUUGUAAGAGAAGAACUGUGAGAAGAGUGGAAAGUUUCUCACUUGACGGUAUCUUACCAGAAAGGGACGGCUAACUACGUGCCAGCAGCCGCGGUAAUACGUAGGUCCCGAGCGUUGUCCGGAUUUAUUGGGCGUAAAGCGAGCGCAGGCGGUUUGAUAAGUCUGAAGUAAAAGGCUGUGGCUUAACCAUAGUACGCUUUGGAAACUGUCAAACUUGAGUGCAGAAGGGGAGAGUGGAAUUCCAUGUGUAGCGGUGAAAUGCGUAGAUAUAUGGAGGAACACCGGUGGCGAAAGCGGCUCUCUGGUCUGUAACUGACGCUGAGGCUCGAAAGCGUGGGGAGCGAACAGGAUUAGAUACCCUGGUAGUCCACGCCGUAAACGAUGAGUGCUAGGUGUUGGGUCCUUUCCGGGACUCAGUGCCGCAGCUAACGCAUUAAGCACUCCGCCUGGGGAGUACGACCGCAAGGUUGAAACUCAAAGGAAUUGACGGGGGCCCGCACAAGCGGUGGAGCAUGUGGUUUAAUUCGAAGCAACGCGAAGAACCUUACCAGGUCUUGACAUCCCGAUGACCGCCCUAGAGAUAGGGUUUCUCUUCGGAGCAUCGGUGACAGGUGGUGCAUGGUUGUCGUCAGCUCGUGUCGUGAGAUGUUGGGUUAAGUCCCGCAACGAGCGCAACCCCUAUUGUUAGUUGCCAUCAUUCAGUUGGGCACUCUAGCGAGACUGCCGGUAAUAAACCGGAGGAAGGUGGGGAUGACGUCAAAUCAUCAUGCCCCUUAUGACCUGGGCUACACACGUGCUACAAUGGCUGGUACAACGAGUCGCAAGUCGGUGACGGCAAGCUAAUCUCUUAAAGCCAGUCUCAGUUCGGAUUGUAGGCUGCAACUCGCCUACAUGAAGUCGGAAUCGCUAGUAAUCGCGGAUCAGCACGCCGCGGUGAAUACGUUCCCGGGCCUUGUACACACCGCCCGUCACACCACGAGAGUUUGUAACACCCGAAGUCGGUGAGGUAACCUUUUAGGAGCCAGCCGCCUAAGGUGGGAUAGAUGAUUGGGGUGAAGUCGUAACAAGGUAGCCGUAUCGGAAGGKGCGGCUGGAUCACCUCCUUUCUA
rnacentral:rRNA from 1 species